rnacentral:rRNA from 1 species
CGUCUAUAUACGUAUAGCAUAUCAAUAAGCGGAGGAAAAGAAACUAACUAGGAUUCCCUUAGUAACGGCGAGUGAAGGCGGGAAGAGCUCAAAUUUGAAAUCUUCAAGGUUUUACCUUGACGAAUUGUAGUUUAAAGAAGUGUUUUCUGUUGGUGUUUUGGUAAAAGUUCUUUGGAAUAGGACAUCAUAGAGGGUGAGAAUCCCGUAUUUGACCAUUACUUCCAGCGUUGUGAUACACUUUCAAAGAGUCGGAUUGUUUGGGAAUGCAGUCCAAAAUGGGUGGUAAAUUUCAUCUAAAGCUAAAUAUUGGCAAGAGACCGAUAGCGAACAAGUACCGUGAGGGAAAGAUGAAAAGAACUUUGAAAAGAGAGUUAAACAGUACGUGAAAUUGUCAAAAGGGAAGCGUUUGACACCAGUGUUGUUUUUCCAAAAAUCAAUUACGAAUGGCUUGAUUUUGUGUUGUAUUGACCUUAUCAGCUUUCUGCACUUUUUUCGAGUCUUUCUUAAUGCACUUUUUGGUUAACAAGUCAACAUCAAUUUCUUUUGUUGUAAAAGAGUAUUCGGAAGGUGGCUUUCUUUUCGGAGAAAGUGUUUAUAGCCCUAUGCUUCUACAAUCGAAGAGAUUGAGGUCUGCAGCGUAGAUCCUUCGGGGUUAGAUACACUUGUGCUAAGUUGUAGCUUUUCAUAGACAACUUGUUGACUAUGUUUAGUCAUGCGGCUUACUCGCUUGUGCUAUUUUACCUACGCUUAGGAUGUUGACUGAUAUGUAGUCGUA